CAGAUGACCUAUCAGAUAAUUUGGUCCAAGUAUAUUGAGAGUGUUUCAGUUCCCAAAUUUCUAUUUACAGAAUUAAUGUGUUCAAAGGAAAACCUUUGUUGAGAACAGAAUACAGAACUGAUGUCCUGUCACUGUCCUGUCUUGCUUGCUUUGGAUUUCAAACUAAUCAAAGCUGAGUAAAGGUUUGGUUUUAAACAAAUGAACAAUUCUUGGAAUCACUGCUGUUAAUAUGUAUAGUCCCAUCAAUUCCCUCCAGAAUCAAGUUAAAGAUAAAAUGAAUAUAGAACAAGAAGAAUCCUGUUGUUUAGUUUAUCUGCCUGCAAUGAAAACCAGUGAUUUGUGCAACUCAUAGGUAGUAGCUGUGUCAGUGCUUUCCAUAAUUAAUUUAGAUUUUUGAAGAGUAUACUUUUUCUUGUUUAUCUCAGUUGUAUAUGUUUGGGGUUUUUUUGAAGUCUAACUUUUUAAAAUUAAUUUUUUAGAAUAAUCAAAAUGCUGUUAACAUAUUAAAAAUGAAAUGCUUUGUAAUCAGAAUUUGUUUAUUUAAACUGUACUUGGGAUAAUCUGUAAAAUGUCGCUCAUUUUUUCUUCUGUUUCUUUAUACUUACUGAAAACAUUGUGAUGUUUCUUAGUGCUGCCAUACAAUUAAUUUGAUUUUUCCAAGAAUAAUCUUUGUUUCUUCAGAAGGGAAACUGCAGUUUUGAAUGUUCUGUAAUUAGAUUAUUCUAGUCUACAAGUUGUAUAUUUUCUUCCUAGAAGCGCCAGUUCCUUGAAAGCAAAAUAUACCUUUUUUUAACAAGGGAGAGUUCA
rnacentral:lncRNA from 1 species